GUGGGGAAUUUUGGACAAUGGGGGCAACCCUGAUCCAGCCAUGCCGCGUGAGUGAAGAAGGCCUUCGGGUUGUAAAGCUCUUUCGGCCGGGAAGAAAUCGCACAGGCUAAUACCUUGUGUGGAUGACGGUACCGGAAUAAGAAGCACCGGCUAACUACGUGCCAGCAGCCGCGGUAAUACGUAGGGUGCGAGCGUUAAUCGGAAUUACUGGGCGUAAAGCGUGCGCAGGCGGUUUCGUAAGACAGAUGUGAAAUCCCCGGGCUCAACCUGGGAACUGCAUUUGUGACUGCGAGGCUAGAGUAUGGCAGAGGGGGGUGGAAUUCCACGUGUAGCAGUGAAAUGCGUAGAGAUGUGGAGGAACACCGAUGGCGAAGGCAGCCCCCUGGGCCAAUACUGACGCUCAUGCACGAAAGCGUGGGGAGCAAACAGGAUUAGAUACCCGGGUAGUCC
rnacentral:rRNA from 1 species